CCUACGGGAGGCAGCAGUGAGGAAUAUUGGUCAAUGGGCGCGAGCCUGAACCAGCCAAGUAGCGUGAAGGAUGACUGCCCUACGGGUUGUAAACUUCUUUUAUAAAGGAAUAAAGUGAGGCACGUGUGCCUUUUUGUAUGUACUUUAUGAAUAAGGAUAGGCUAAAACCCUUCCCGCCGCCGCGGUAAUACGGAGGAUCCUAGCGUUAUCCGGAUUUAAUGGGUUUAAAGGGAGCGUAGAUGGGAUGGUAAGUCAGGUGUGAAAGUUUGCGGCUCAACCGUAAAAUUGCAAUUGAUACUGGCAGACUUGAGUACAGGAGAGGUAAGCGGAAUUCGUGGUGUAGCGGUGAAAUGCUUAGAUAUCACGAAGAACUCCGAUUGCGAAGGCAGCUUACUGGCCUGCAACUGACAUUGAGGCUCGAAAGUGUGGGUAUCAAACAGGAUUAGAUACCCGGGUAGUC
rnacentral:rRNA from 1 species